rnacentral:rRNA from 1 species
GACGAACGCUGGCGGCGUGCUUAACACAUGCAAGUCGAACGGAAAGGCCCUGCUUUUGCGGGGUGCUCGAGUGGCGAACGGGUGAGUAACACGCGAGUAACCUGCCCUUGACUUUGGGAUAACUCUAGGAAACUGGGGCUAUUACCGGAUAGGAGCUCCUGCUGCAUGGUGGGGGUUGGAAAGUUUCGGCGGUUGGGGAUGGACUCGCGGCUUAUCAGCUUGUUGGUGAGGUAGUGGCUUACCAAGGCUUUGACGGGUAGCCGGCCUGAGAGGGUGACCGGCCACAUGAGGACUGAGGUACGGCCCAGACUGCUACGGGAGGCAGCGGUGGGGAAUAUUGCACAAUGAGCGGAAGCCUGAUGCAGCAACGCCGCGUGCGGGAUAACGGCCUACGGGUGGUAAACCGCUUUCGCCGGAGACAAAGCGUGAGUGACGGUAAUGGGUAAAAAAGCACCGGCUAACUACGUG